CUAUAUUUUCCUAUAAAUAGAAGCUCAUUCUUCCUUCAUUUCUAACCAAUUCACAAAAGCUUUAGAGCGAUUAUUAUAGAGAGAAAUUAUAGAGAGAAAGAAGAAGAGAAAUGCUACCUCACUAUUCCAGUAUCCAGUUUUUUUCAAGGUAGGGAAUAUUAUUUGUUGUACCUGUAGGGAGUAUUAUUUCUUUCUUAUCUAUGAAGAGAACUUCUGUUAUUCCAUUCUUUAUUAUUCUCUUGGAAUAACCUGUAUACGCGGGCUACCCUAUACUUGGUGAAAUUCUUCUGUUGUUCCAUUCUUUAUCAUUCUGUUGGAACAUCCUGUCUGUGCGUUCUACGUCGGACCUGAUUCCGUCUUUAUUAUACUGUUGGAAUAUCCUGUCUGUACGUUCUACGCCGGACCUGAUUCCGUCUUUAUUAUUCUGUUAGAAUAUCCUGUCUGUGCGUUUUACGCCGGACCUGAUUCCGUCUUUAUUAUUCUAUUAGAAUAUACUGUCUGUGCGUUUUACGCCGGACC
rnacentral:lncRNA from 1 species